rnacentral:rRNA from 15 species
GUUACCCGCAUGUGAAUACAUAGUCUGUGUGGGGGUUGACGCGGGGAAGUGAAACAUCUCAGUACCCGUAGGAGAAGAAAACAAUUGUGAUUCCGUGUGUAGUGGCGAGCGAUAGCGGAUGAGGCUAAACCGUGUGCGUGUGAUACCUGGCAGGGGUUGCGUGUGCGGUGUUGUGGG